AGAGAGAGACAUGCGCGCAUAUCAAUAAGCGGAGGAAAAGAAACUAACAAGGAUUCCCCUAGUAACGGCGAGUGAAGCGGGAAGAGCUCAAAUUUGAAAUCUUAAAGGGUUUCCCUUUACGAAUUGUAGUUUAAAGGAGUGUUUUCUGUUGAGGUUUUGGUAAAAGUUCUUUGGAAUAGGACAUCAUAGAGGGUGAGAAUCCCGUAUUUGACCUUUACUUUCAACUUUGUGAUACACUUUCAAAGAGUCGGAUUGUUUGGGAAUGCAGUCCAAAAUGGGUGGUAAAUUUCAUCUAAAGCUAAAUAUUGGCGAGAGACCGAUAGCGAACAAGUACCGUGAGGGAAAGAUGAAAAGAACUUUGAAAAGAGAGUUAAACAGUACGUGAAAUUGUCAAAAGGGAAGCGUUUGACACCAGUGUUGUUUUUCUGAAAAUCAAUUAAAGAACUGUUUAUGCUAAGUUGUUUAGACUUUAUCAGCUAACUGUUUAGUUUUGAGCUUUUCUUUAAUGCACUUUUCAGUUAACAAGUCAACAUCAAUUCCUUUUGCUGUAAAAAAGCUUGAGGAAGGUGGCUUGAGAUUCGUCUUAAGUGUUUAUAGCCUCUUGCCUAUGCAGUCGGAGAGAUUGAGGUCUGCAGCGUAGAUCCUUCGGGGCUAAAUGCAUUUGUGCUAAGUUAUAGCAUUUUAUAGACAACUUGUUGACUAUGAUUUGUCUUGUAGCUUACUCGCUUAUGUUAUUUUACCUACGCUUAGGAUGUUGAGCGCAUGUCUCUCUCU
rnacentral:rRNA from 1 species